rnacentral:rRNA from 1 species
GACGAACGCUGGCGGCGUGCCUAAUACAUGCAAGUUGAGCGCUGAAGGUUGGUACUUGUACCAACUGGAUGAGCAGCGAACGGGUGAGUAACGCGUGGGGAAUCUGCCUUUGAGCGGGGGACAACAUUUGGAAACGAAUGCUAAUACCGCAUAAAAACUUUAAACACAAGUUUUAAGUUUGAAAGAUGCAAUUGCAUCACUCAAAGAUGAUCCCGCGUUGUAUUAGCUAGUUGGUGAGGUAAAGGCUCACCAAGGCGAUGAUACAUAGCCGACCUGAGAGGGUGAUCGGCCACAUUGGGACUGAGACACGGCCCAAACUCCUACGGGAGGCGGCAGUAGGGAAUCUUCGGCAAUGGACGAAAGUCUGACCGAGCAACGCCGCGUGAGUGAAGAAGGUUUUCGGAUCGUAAAACUCUGUUGGUAGAGAAGAACGUUGGUGAGAGUGGAAAGCUCAUCAAGUGACGGUAACUACACAGAAAGGGACGGCUAACUACGUG